AGAUAUUAUGUUAGAGGCGACAUCUGCUACCGAAAAUGAAGGAAAUGCACGAAAUAAAAGAGCGAUAGAGUUACGUAGUAGCUGCCUUGAUGUUUGCCUGUCACGUAGGAUCACAGAGGAUCGGAGGAUCGGAUCUCGUUCGAAUCAUCAUUGAUGAAACCCACAAAAUUAACAGGAAGCGAAAUGGAAACCAAAAACGAAACCUUUAAGAAGUUCUUUCUGGAGCGGGAGGGAGACCACGCACCACGACAUGUGAUGUGUAAUUCAAUCAAGCAAUGAUUCAGUUUCAAUAUGUGCUGCCACUCGAAGUAAACCCCCGAAAAAGCCGCUUAAUGUUUGAGCUCAA